CUGUGUGUAGAUAUACAUAGUUUAGCCUGCUCACUGAUUAAUAUUAAAGAGCCGCAGUAUUCUGACUGUGCGAAGGUAGCAUAAUAGAUUGUCUUUUAAAUGGAGGCUUGAAUGAACGGUUGGACAAAGUAUCAUCUGUUUCUUAAAUUAAUAUUGAAUUUGACUUUUAAGUGAAAAGGCUUAAAUAAUUCAAAAAGACGAUAAGACCCUAUAAAUCUUUACAAAAUAUAUAUUUUAAGUUUUAGUUUGUAUGUUAAUAAAACAUAAAAUGUAUUUUUGUUGCGCUGGGGCGGUGUAGAUAUAUAAAUAAACUGUUUAUAAGUUAAAAUCAAUUAUUAUUGUUUAGUAGAUUUGAUCCUUUGAUAGAUUAAAAGAUUAAGAUACUUUAGGGAUAACAGCGUUAUUUUUUCUGAGAGUUCUUAUCGAAGAAAAAGUUUGCGACCUCGAUGUUGAAUUAAAGUUUCUUUGCGGUGUAGCAGCUGUAAGAGAGAGUCUGUUCGACUUUUAAUACUUUACAUGAUUU
rnacentral:rRNA from 1 species